UAUCUCUGUAGAGUCUGCAUAUCAAUAAGCGGAGGAAAAGAAACUAACAAGGAUUCCCUUAGUAACGGCGAGUGAAGCGGGAAGAGCUCAAAUUUGAAAUCUUCAAGGUUCUACCUUGACGAAUUGUAGUUUAAAGAAGUGUUUUCUGUUAGAUGAGUAGCAAAAGUUCCUUGGAAUGGGACAUCAUAGAGGGUGAGAAUCCCGUAUUUGGUUAUUCAUUCUAGCUUUGUGAUACACUUUCAAAGAGUCGGAUUGUUUGGGAAUGCAGUCCAAAAUGGGUGGUAAAUUUCAUCUAAAGCUAAAUAUUGGCGAGAGACCGAUAGCGAACAAGUACCGUGAGGGAAAGAUGAAAAGAACUUUGAAAAGAGAGUUAAACAGUACGUGAAAUUGUCAAAAGGGAAGCGUUUGACACCAGUGUUGUUUUUCCGAAAAUCAAUUACGAAUGGCUUGAUUUUGUGUUGUAUUGACCUUAUCAGCUUUCUGCACUUUUUUCGAGUCUUUCUUAAUGCACUUUUUGGUUAACAAGUCAACAUCAAUUUCUUUUGUUGUAAAAGAGUAUUCGGAAGGUGGCUUUCUUUUCGGAGAAAGUGUUUGAUAGCCCUAUACUUCUACAAUCGGAGAGAUUGAGGUCUGCAGCGUAGAUCCUUCGGGGUUAGAUACACUUGUGCUAAGUUGUAGCUUUUCAUAGACAACUUGUUGACUAUGUUUAGUCAUGCGGCUUACUCGCUUAUGCUACUUUACCUACGCUUAGGAUGUUGACUGAUAUGUAGUCGU
rnacentral:rRNA from 1 species